GAAAGUAAUUGGUUGAUUGAGUUACGAUCCUUAUGCAGUUAUCCGUAUGGGUAACGGUAGGGCGCAGUAACAGCCCGCCAAUUUCGCUUAUUGACGAUAUGGCGGAGUUGUAGCGUACACGUUGGUACCCGAAAGAUGGUGAACUAUGCCUGGGCAGGACGAAGCCAGAGGAAACUCUGGUGGAGGUUCGUAGAAAUUUUGACGUGCAAAUCAAUUUUCAGACCUGGGUAUAGGGGCGAAAGACUAAUCGAACCAUCUAGUAGCUGGUUCCUUC
rnacentral:rRNA from 1 species